rnacentral:misc_RNA from 1 species
CCAGAGAUGGCGGGCCCCCGGCCCCCGUCCCCAACCCUUUGUUGACCAAAACCAUUUUGCCUCGGGGGCAGAGCGGACGUCAUUCGGCCGCCGCCCCCGGAGGACCACCAAACUCUGUCUCUUUACGUCGGAGUCUUUGAUCAAUAAAUCA